rnacentral:rRNA from 1 species
UACGUAGGGUGCAAGCGUUGUCCGGAAUUAUUGGGCGUAAAGAGCUCGUAGGCGGUCUGUCGCGUCGGCUGUGAAAACCCGGAGCUCAACUCCGGGCCUGCAGUCGAUACGGGCAGACUGGAGUUCGGCAGGGGAGACUGGAAUUCCUGGUGUAGCGGUGAAAUGCGUAGAGAUCGGGAGGAACACCUGUGGCGAAGGCGGCCGGCUGGGGGUGCCCUGACGCUGAGGCGCGAAAGCGUGGGGAGCGAACCGG